GCCUGAAACUGCUGAGGCCAGCUUGGAAUUUCCUCCUGUGGGGUUAGCUCUAUAAAAAGAAAAGAUGCACCAAACAGCUGGAGAAGGUGAGGGAGAGGAGACAGCAGCGCUUCAGCCUGAGAGCUUUGUUGCUUCCCGCCAGGGUAACACAAUGGUUCCUCGUUUUCCUUCUUAUCAAUGCCUUGACGAUCUUUUCUACUGUUUUGUUCCACCAAUCACCAGGGGGUGUACUAUCCUAAUGAAAAGCAUGAACCUCGGAUAUUUCAUUCUGGGGAUCUGCUUCCAUGGGUAGAGCCCACCUUACAGCUGUGAGACUUAAGACCCCUGGGAAACAAACAAAGGAUCCACUGACCCAUCUCCUGCUCUCGCUGCUCCUCCCUGUGUGUGUGUUUCUGACAUUGGACUGGGGAGAAAGAAGAGGUUAGACUAUCCUUGCCCCCUAGCAGAGUGCUUGGGCAUUGGGUAGGCCAGUUCCAACAGGCAUUAGCUUUGCCCCAUCAAUCCCUGCAGUCAGAGCAAGAGACUGCACCUUACAACCAGCAGCGACUCCAGACUUCUACACAUUCUGUAAGAAACGGGAACUGCGAGGGGCUCGCUCAGAGGCUCCCUCCUGUGACCAAAUCCAGCAGUUCCGCUCGCUCUUCCACUGCAGAAAUGCCUCAACUUUAACAGCAAAGAGAACUCGGGGUCCUUUCUGGAGCAUGGUUUUCUCCACUCUACGUUUCUCUGUGUUCCAGAUCCUGGGAGGAGUUCAAGGAUGGCCCUAGCAGGGCUCUUUAGAAAGUGUUAUGAAUGCAUACGGCUCUGCCACAGCACACGCCCGGCAAGCAGCAGGGAGAAGGGAAGGGAAGGUCAGUGGUGCAGGAUCAUCGUCAUCGGUCGUCUAUCUGAUCUCCAGCUGGAGUGGUACAUUGUGCACGGAGCGGAAGAGGCGCUUCGGCCCGCUGCCCCUCUGCUCAGUGUUUCAUGGUUGGGAGGCGCCAAAUAACUCCCGUAAAACCACCGUCCCGGGCACGCUCUGUCUCGUGCUUCCGACGGGAUGGAUCUUUUGGCAUUUCUGUACCGUGUCUAAUGAGCUUCCUUUCCAGGCAGAAAUAAACGGUU